rnacentral:rRNA from 1 species
UACAGAGGGUGCAAGCGUUAAUCGGAAUUACUGGGCGUAAAGCGUGCGUAGACGGUUGCGUAAGUCAGAUGUGAAAGCCCCGGGCUCAACCCGGGAAUUGCAUUUGAGACUGCGUAGCUAGGGUGCGGAAGAGGGAAGCGGAAUUUCCGGUGUAGCGGUGAAAUGCGUAGAUAUCGGAAGGAACACCAGUGGCGAAAGCGGCUUCCUGGUCCAGCACCGACGUUCAGGCACGAAAGCGUGGGGAGCAAACAGG